rnacentral:lncRNA from 1 species
UUUCUAUAGUCAUGCCUCUUCCUCAUCCAUUGCCACAUCUCGCAAUAUGGCUAUGGCGCGUAUGUAAAUGCUAUUCGCCAAGAGGUACAACAAGAGUUUCGGGUGCAUAUGCAGACAAGGCUGGAUGAGCAAGGCGAUGCUACAAAAGUAGAUGGAGGUGCAACUGGCAGCCACGCAGGAAGAUAUGCAGAAGCUACUGCAAACCAG